GACGAACCUUGCUAACGUUAUUCGGAAUUACUGGGCUUAAAGGGUGCGUAGGCGGUGCGGAAAGUCGGGUGUGAAAUCCCCCAGCUCAACUGGGGAAUUGCGCCUGAAACUGCCGUGCUCGAGGAAGACAGAGGUACGCGGAACUUAGGGUGGAGCGGUGAAAUGCGUUGAUAUCCUAAGGAACACCGGUGGCGAAAGCGGCGUACUGGGUCUUAUCUGACGCUGAAGCACGAAAGCUAGGGUAGCGAACGGG
rnacentral:rRNA from 1 species